rnacentral:piRNA from 1 species
UCUCAAUACGAAGAUUAAACU